rnacentral:lncRNA from 1 species
AAAAGCAAUAAAUGAUGGCUGAAAUGUAGCAGGUGGAAGAAUAGGAGUGUUCUAGUUGUAUUGCCUCACAACUGGACUACUGUAAUGAUUCGAGUAAUGAGGAUAGUUGCUCAUAUGAGGCAUUGCAUACUGCUGAGUAUAAUUUCCAUAAGCCUGAGAUGGUGUUACUGAUCUAGUUGCAGCAUCACGUGGGGCAUAGUAACACCAAGUUAUGUCAUGGACAGGUUUCCUACAGUAAUCACAAUAGAAACUAUUUGGCCUAGUGGAAUUCCUAGCAUAGGUUCCACGUCUUCCACCUCGUCUACCAAAACCACGAUAUCCUCUGCCAUAAUUAAAGUUAUUCCGUUGUCUCAAUGACUGAGUAUAAUUCAUAGCAUGAGAUGCAGGAUUAUACAUAUGACCUUGUUGUGGUUGCAUUGAAAAUGAGAGAGGUGAUUGUGGUGGGGAAUGUGCAACCACAUUUGCUGACAGAGCAUCAAAAACAGUCCUAUGUUUAUUCUUAGCUAACCUAGAUUCAAAAGUUAGCAGAAAUUGUUAAAGUUCAUGGAUUGAAGGAUGAUUGUUUUGGCUGUCUAUUGAUGUGAUAACAGUAUUAUACUCUUCAUUUAAG